rnacentral:rRNA from 1 species
AACGAACGCUGGCGGCAUGCCUAGCACAUGCAAGUCGAACGAUGCCCUCGGGGCUAGUGCCUCACGGGUGCUUAACGCGUGGUAACCUGCCCUUAGGUUCGGUGUAAGGCCGCGGAGGGUGUGCUAAGACCGGGUAAUGUCUUCGGACCAAAGAUUUAUCGCCUUUGGAUGGGCCCUCGUUGGGUUAGCUAGUUGGUAGGGUAAAAGCCUACGAAGGCUACGAUCCAUAGCUGGUAUGAGAGGAUGAUCAGCCACACUGCGACUGAGACACGGCCCAGACUCUUACGGGAGGCAGCAGUGGGGACUAUUCGACAAUGCGCGAAAGCCUGAUCCAGCAAUGCCGUGUGAGUGAUGAAGGCCUGAGGGUUGUAAAGCUCUUUUAAACGGGCUGAUAAUGACAGUACCGGGCGAAUAAGCUACGGCUAACUCCGUG